GGCCUGGUGGUCUAGUGGUAUGAUUCGCGCUUAGGGAAAACCUAUGCAUAAUUUGCGCGAGGUCCCGGGUUCGAUCCCCGGCCAGGCCC
rnacentral:tRNA from 2 species